rnacentral:rRNA from 1 species
CCAAUAGCGUAUAUUAAAGUUGUUGCAGUUAAAAAGCUCGUAGUUGGAUUUCGGGGUUAGUAGGUUGGUCGUGCCUUUGGUAUGCACUGGUCUCACUGAUUCCUCCUUCUUGAAGAACUGUAAUGUCAUUAAUUUGGUGUUGCAGGGAAACAGGACUGUUACUUUGAAAAAAUUAGAGUGUUUAAAGCAGGCUAACGCCUGAAUACAUUAGCAUGGAAUAAUGAAAUAGGACGUUUGAUCCUAUUUUGUUGGUUUCUAGGAUUGACGUAAUGAUUAAUAGGGAUAGUUGGGGGCAUUAGUAUUCAAUUGUCAGAGGUGAAAUUCUUGGAUUUAUUGAAGACUGACUACUGCGAAAGCAUUUGCCAAGGAUGUUUUCAUUAAUCAAGAACGAAAGUUAGGGGAUCGAAGACGAUCAGAUACCGUCGUAGUCUUAACCAUAAACUAUGCCGACUAGGGAUCGGAUGAUGUUAAUUUUUUAAUGACUCAUUCGGCGCCUUACG